rnacentral:rRNA from 1 species
AUUGAACGCUGGCGGAAUGCUUUACACAUGCAAGUCGAACGGCAGCACGGACUUCGGUCUGGUGGCGAGUGGCGAACGGGUGAGUAACAUAUCGGAACGUAUCCAAUAAUGGGGGAUGACUAAUCGAAAGGUUGGCUAAUACCGCAUACUCCCUACGGGGGAAAGCUAGGGACUUUCGGGCCCGGCGUUAAUGGAGCGGCCGAUAUCUGAUUAGCUAGUUGGUGGGGUAAAGGCCCACCAAGGCGACGAUCAGUAGCUGGUCUGAGAGGACGACCAGCCACACUGGAACUGAGACACGGUCCAGACUCCUACGGGAGGCAGCAGUGGGGAAUUUUGGACAAUGGGCGCAAGCCUGAUCCAGCCAUUCCGCGUGAGUGAAGAAGGCCUUCGGGUUGUAAAGCUCUUUCGCAAGGGAAGAAAACUUAUCCUCUAACAUAGGGUGAGGUUGACGGUACCUUGAUAAGAAGCACCGGCUAACUACGUGCCAGCCGCCGCAGUAACAC